UACGGAGGGUGCAAGCGUUGUUCGGAAUUAUUGGGCGUAAAGGGCAGGUAGGUGGUCUUGUAAGUCUACUGUGAAAUCCCCGGGCUUAACUCGGGAAGUGCGGUGGAUACUGUAAGACUAGAGUGCCGGAGGGGUUCGUGGAAUUCCCGGUGUAGCGGUGAAAUGCGUAGAUAUCGGGAAGAACACCCGGUGGCGAAGGCGGCUCUCUGGGACGGUACCGACGCUGAGACGCGAAAGCGUGGGGAGCGAACAGG
rnacentral:rRNA from 1 species